AUUUUAUUAUGUGAUUAAUUAAAUUAAAUGUGAGAGACAUUUAAUUUAAUUAAUUAAUGUUAAGUUUGGUGAUUAAAACUUAAUAAGAGUGAAAAAAGGUGUCAAAAGUCAAUUUGGACUUUUCUUCUUAUAAACCUUUAUUAACCUUUAUAAAAAAUUAAAAAAAAUUAAAAAAAAAUUAAUGGUCACAUAUAUGGAAAAGGGUGGCUGGCCAUGUGCUAUUUUAGAGUGGUGUGAACCCAAUUUUAUAAAAUUCAAAUCCCAUUUAAUUAAGAAGUCAAGUGGGCAAGUGGGUAGAAAAGCACUCAAGUGUUUUGUGAUAUUUUGAAGAGUAGUGUGAGCCAUUCUAACCCCCAAAUCCGACCACUCUCCCUCCCUCAUUCACUCUCAUCUGAUUUUUGAAGACUCUCUCAAGUGUUCUCUCCAUUUUGAACCCCAAGAACACCAAAGAAACUUGGAAGCUAAGUCUUGGUCUAGGAAGGGUUUUCCCUAAGUUGGUUAGGGUUUUUGAAAGGUUUUGAAGGAGUCAAAGCUUAUAGGAAGGUCCAAACCUUAAGCAAGAACACCAAAGAGGUAAGAACAAGGGCAAGGCAGAGCAGUGAGCGCUGGAGUCUUCCUUGCAAAUGUACAUGUGGACCGACCUUUUGGGAAGCCUUUUUAUUUUUGGAAAUGUUGUGUAAUUUUCCUAAACUAGGCUCACUCUAAUCUUUAUAAAACAUGUUUGUAACUAAAUGUUAAGUAUGGCCAUACGACUUUUUAAAAAGUUUUUUUUUCUAUGGGUUUUUGAGACAUUUUGUUAAAUGAAAACAUUUAUAUUUCCGCAUUAUUGAGUCUUGAAAAUCCGGGUCGUUACAGU